AGCAGUAGCCGCGGUAAUACGGAGGUCCCGAGCGUUGUUCGGAAUCACUGGGCGUAAAGGGAGCGUAGGCGGCGUGGUAAGUCAGAUGUGAAAUCCCGGGGCUCAACCCCGGAACUGCAUCCGAUACUGCCGUGCUAGAGGAUUGGAGAGGUAGCUGGAAUUCUUGGUGUAGCAGUGAAAUGCGUGGAGAUCAAGAGGAACACUCGUGGCGAAAGCGAGCUACUGGACAAUAUCUGACGCUGAGGCUCGAAGGCCAGGGUAGCGAAAGGGAUUAGAUACCCCAGUAGUCCCUGUCUCUUAUAC
rnacentral:rRNA from 1 species